rnacentral:rRNA from 1 species
CGGAGGGUGCAAGCGUUAUCCGGAUUUACUGGGUUUAAAGGGUGCGUAGGCGGGCCUUUAAGUCAGUGGUGAAAUCUCCCCGCUCAACGGGGAAACUGCCAUUGAUACUAUUGGUCUUGAAUUCAGUUGAGGUGGGCGGAAUGUGUCGUGUAGCGGUGAAAUGCUUAGAUAUGACACAGAACACCGAUUGCGAAGGCAGCUCGCUAAACUGAUAUUGACGCUGAGGCACGAAAAGCGUGGGGAUCAAACAGGAUUAGAUACCCUGGUAGUCCACGCCCUAAACGAUGAUUACUCGAUCUGUGCGAUACACUGUACGGGUCUAUGCAAAAGCAUUAAGUAAUCCACCUGGGGAGUACGACCGCAAGGUUG